AGGGGGAUAACUACUGGAAACGGUAGCUAAUACCGCAUAACGUCUUCGGACCAAAGUGGGGGACCUUCGGGCCUCAUGCCAUCAGAUGUGCCCAGAUGGGAUUAGCUAGUAGGUGGGGUAAUGGCUCACCUAGGCGACGAUCCCUAGCUGGUCUGAGAGGAUGACCAGCCACACUGGAACUGAGACACGGUCCAGACUCCUACGGGAGGCAGCAGUGGGGAAUAUUGCACAAUGGGCGCAAGCCUGAUGCAGCCAUGCCGCGUGUGUGAAGAAGGCCUUCGGGUUGUAAAGCACUUUCAGCGAGGAGGAAGGGUUCAGUGUUAAUAGCACUGUGCAUUGACGUUACUCGCAGAAGAAGCACCGGCUAACUCCGUGCCAGCAGCCGCGGUAAUACGGAGGGUGCAAGCGUUAAUCGGAAUUACUGGGCGUAAAGCGCACGCAGGCGGUUUGUUAAGUCAGAUGUGAAAUCCCCGCGCUUAACGUGGGAACUGCAUUUGAAACUGGCAAGCUAGAGUCUUGUAGAGGGGGGUAGAAUUCCAGGUGUAGCGGUGAAAUGCGUA
rnacentral:rRNA from 1 species